GGGACGCGCUCCGGCCCACCGAGCUGGGAGCCUGUGAGAGCUCAGCAAGGCCCAGGGCCCUCCCGGGGGCGCCCGCACCCCACAGCGGCUCUUCUCCGCGGAGGGCAGGAGGACCCCGGCCAGGGAGGGGUGAGCAGCGGCAGGACGGGCCCGCUUUGGGCCGGCGCCCGUGAUGGGGUGUCGUGUGCAGCCCCGGCCCCGCCGCCCCCGCCGGGCUCUCCCCAGCCAGGCGGCCGCUGUGCCCACUGCAGGUUUAAAGAUCGAGACGCGCCGUGGUGUUUUCCUGUGUUUUCACCGCGCGCCGCUCACGAUGAUCCGCGAGGACAAGAGCAGGCGUGGGCGGCGCAGGGCCCGACUCUGACGUGCCAACGCCAGACGGUGGCGGCCGGGGUGGGAGUGGGGGCGCCAGCUGCCUCCCCGCCCCCACGGUGACUGUCGGCUCGCCUCCCCCUCGCCGCUGCUCGAGACCGUGGGAGAUGAGGAAGCCAUCGGGGCUCGGAGGGGGCCUCGCUGGGUCCGGAGGGUCCCCGCCAGCGUCAGCCCUUCUCUGCGGCCAGAGCGUCUGUCCUGGUUUGUUUAUUGAAAGCCAGCGGAAUACUCCAUUUCACCCGCUUCAGUGGGAAACGUUUCGCAGAAAAACACAAGAAGGGGUCUUCAUUCCUGGACGCCCCAUGAUGUGUCCCCUCCGGCUCUCCGGAAGCUUCUACAGCCGGGGCUUUGGCGACCUGCCCACGGAGCCCCAGGACCCGAGCCCCAUGGCAUUCUCGGGGGUCCGCGCGGCUGCCGGCGGUCAGCAGCUUUCAACGCUGGGCUCGGGCUCAGGCCUCUCCUUUUCCACGGGGGUUCACCGCAUCGUCUGCCCCGAGUCCGGCUUCCCCGCUGGCCCCGCCUGAGGACGGUCGCCGUGACGCGCUGUCUUCACCUGCUGAUUCGUCCCUUCUGGAGGCUCGUGGCCUCCCCCGGCCUGAGGCUGACGUCUGGGCUCAGGACGGUGUCCCACGGCUCCAGAGGGGAUUCCGCGCGUUGACCAACAGUCUGGACAUUCAUACUCACCUGCCCGAGUUUCUGGUGCGUCUGCAGGAAACGAGAGACUCUGUGUCUUUGCCUCGUGAGCUCCGUCUGCAGCCCUGGGGCUCUGAGAACAUGACAGGUGCCCCCGUGAGUCGCCGGCACCCGUGGUCGCUGGGGCCCUGGCCGCUGAGCCGUGGGGAUGCGCAUCUCAUGGACAGGGAGGGAGGCCCGGGCAGCUGGGAGCGGGCAGGGGGGCGGCGGGUGAGCGCCUGCGUCAGGCCGGUGCAGCCCGGGGAGCGCUGGCCACGGGGACUCAGACGCCCCUGGCGUGUGCUUCACGCAGGUUCUGGCUCCGUCUCGUCCCGACUGUGUGGCCCUGGGCAGGUCACUCGACCUGAGCCCUGGGGCACUGCACACGGUCAAGCGAGGCCCCGGGCCCAGGGACGGGACGGGAUGGGGGUGACGGGGACACCUGCAGGUCCCUCCUCCGGGCAGAAGCUUUUCUGUUUUCCAGUUUCCAACCCGGGGCUGUGGAGCGUGUGCAGGUAAGAGGUGAGGCACCUGCUGCGCUUCACCCGCAGGUACCUGGUGAGGUCACUUCUCGCCGACCCUGUGUCCUGGACCCAGUGGGUCACCCGGGGGGGCGCGGGGGCGCCGGCCGGGAGCCUGCGGUGGGGGAGAGCCGUCUUUCCCGAAGAUUCGGGUGCCAUUCGUAGGGGCUGUUUUACAUCAAUUUAGAUUUUUUAACGCGGCGUCCCGGUCCGAUGACGGAACUUUUGGUGCCCUGCCAGGGUGUGCUGAGCGCGAUCCCCGGGCGCCCCCAGGCCUCCUGGGUCACGUGCCUUCCACCGAGCUCGGGCUGGGCCGCGGCUGCAGGGGCGCCCUCUGCUCCCCAGGGGUGGGGUCUCCGAGCUGGGCCGCCUGUGAGGUCAUCGUGGGGCGCAGGGGGCCCUUUCUUGCACCUUCUCGCUCGGACUUCUGGGUAAGUUCUGGGGAAGGAGCAGGUUUUCCGGGUGGUGCUUCUUUUUCGGGGUGUGUGGGUGAGGGGAGGUUCGGCCUGCCCCGAGGUGACCCUCAGGCCUGUUGUCCGUGAGUCCUGGGGUUGGGGAGGGGACACCUGGGGACAGCUGGGAGCAGGGCGGGAGCACAGGCCCUGGCUUCCGUGCAGGGUGUGUGGCAGGCAGACCUGUGGGUCCUUGUCACGGCCCCGAGGCCCCGAGGUGCACGUGGUGACAGACCGUCCUCACUCGACUGCUCAACUCCCGGGACCUGGCUCCUGGGCUCGGAGCUUCCCUCCAAACAGUCCGGUUUCAGCGAGCGUCCUGCUGGCCCGUGAGGCAGGAGCCCGGGGCCUGGCAGCUGACCGGCCACCCCGAUGCCUCCUGCGGGGAUCCCAGGGGCCCCUGCUCCUGGCUCUCGCUCCCGCCGUGUCUGAGAGCAGCGCAGGGCGGAGGCCGCGGCAGUGCAGGCUCCUCUGUGUCAGGCGGCUGUGGGGCAGGUGUGGGCCCCGCGCUGAGCGCAGCGUGGACGUGGGCGCGGCCCUCGGGGAGGACCUUUCUCCAGCAGUGAGACCCGAGCCAGCCCCUGACUGAACACAGGAGGGAGCCGGGAAGAUGGUGGCAGCGCACCCAGCGCAGGACCUCGCCCACGACAGGCCCGACCCCUGCAACGAGACCCAGGCCCCAGCAGCGGAGACCCCGGCCGCUGCAGUGGAGACCCCGGCCCCUGCGGAGACCCAGCACAUCUGAGGCCCAGGAGACAGACGGUCUCACGCUUGUCCUGGUUUGCCUCCCACUGGGGACCACUCUGCCCUCGGCCAGCACAUGUGCUCAGGGUGGCCCUGGGCACCUCCCGCCUCCGGCCCACCAUGAGCCUCACCUCGUCCGUCCUUGGUCCCUGGUGCCGAGGAGCAAGGGCAGCCGAGCAGCAGCCGAGCAGGGCCUGGGUGUGCCCCCCCCCCCCCCGUCUUUCCCUUGUUUCUUGCCCACGGCCUACGGAUGAGUUUCUAGGGUUUACGGAGGGAUGAGGACACACCCUGAGCUGUACUCGCUGGAACCGCGGGGAUCCGCGGGGGGAGCAGCAGGGCAGUGGGCAGGGCCACCCCGUGUGCCCGCGCGGGGGCAGUGAGGACACACCUCAGGGCCCAGCCCUCAGAUGAGGGCUCCCUGGGAAGGAAGGCAGUAAAGGCCGGAGAAGUUGUACUUUGCUGUUUCACGUUGAUCGCGGGCACAGGUUGCAGAAGUGGAGACGUUAACCUGGAUGAAACAGAAACCCUUGCAGGUGAAUUUCCGAGCCAGCCCUGCAGCGGGGGUGACCCUCGGCUGCUGUGAU